rnacentral:rRNA from 1 species
GAGAGAGGGUGCAAGCGUUAUCCGAAUUUAUUGGGCGUAAAACGUCUGUAGGCGGUUCAUUAAGUCUUAAAGUUAAAUAGUUGAGCUCAACUCAGCUUUGCUUUGGAUACUGAUGAACUAGAGUGCGUUAGGGGUUAUUGGAAUUCCCGGUGUAGUGGUGAAAUACGUAGAUAUCGGGAGGAACUCCAGUGGCGAAAGCGAAUAACUGGGGCGUAACUGACGCUGAGAGACGACAGCGUGGGAAGCUAAAAGG